rnacentral:lncRNA from 1 species
UUCUCAGGCUGAUGGAGCACAUGAUGAAAUGGGGUGCCAGGGGGUACCAGCUGUAGUUACUGCACUCAGCACAGAACGGCCGCAGGGGAUGCAUUCAGACAUGCCCAGAGAAGUCUGCCUAUGGGGAAACAAAUACCUUGGAGGU